rnacentral:rRNA from 1 species
UACGUAGGGGGCAAGCGUUGUCCGGAAUCAUUGGGCGUAAAGCGCGCGUAGGCGGCCCGGUAAGUCCGCUGUAAAAGUCCAGGGCUCAACCCUGGAAAGCCGGUGGAUACUGUCGGGCUAGAGUCCGGAAGAGGCGAGUGGAAUUCCUGGUGUAGCGGUGGAAUGCGCAGAUAUCUGGAGGAACACCGGUGGCGAAGGCGGCAUUCUGGACUGCAACUGACACUGAAGAACGAAAGCCAGGGGAGCAAACGGG